rnacentral:lncRNA from 1 species
UGUGACAUAUCUCUGCACUGAUCACCCAGGUGAUGGAAGUCUUGUUUAGGCUCUGUCUAUGGGGUCAUUGUGUCAAAUAUCUGCACUGAUCACCCAGGGAAUUUUGACAAAUCUCUGUACUGAUCACCUAGGUGAUGUAACUCUUGUCUACCCUCUGCCUACAGGGGGCAUUGUGAAAUAUCUCUGCACUGAUAACCCAAGUGAUGCAACUCUUGUCUAGGAUCUGCCUACAGGGGGUAUUGUGAAAUAUCUCUGCACUGAUCAACUAGGUGAUGUAACUCUUGUCCAGGCUCUGCCUAUGGGGGCAUUGUGACGUAUCUCUG